rfam:Ipomoea nil DNA, scaffold: scaffold0317, cultivar: Tokyo-kokei standard.
CGAGAUGUAGCUCAAAUGGUAGAGCGCUCGCUUUGCAUGCGAGAGGCACGGGGUUCAAUCCCUCGCAUCUCCA